UACGUAGGGUCCGAGCGUUAAUCGGAAUUACUGGGCGUAAAGCGUGCGCAGGCGGUUUUGUAAGCCAGAUGUGAAAUCCCCGGGCUCAACCUGGGAACUGCAUUUGGGACUGCAAGGCUGGAGUACGGCAGAGGGAGGUGGAAUUCCACGUGUAGCAGUGAAAUGCGUAGAGAUGUGGAGGAACACCGAUGGCGAAGGCAGCCCCCUGGGUUAACACUGACGCUCAUGUACGAAAGCGUGGGGAGCAAACAGG
rnacentral:rRNA from 1 species